UACGGAGGGGGUAAGCGUUGAUCGGAAUUACUGGGCGUAAAGCGCGUGUAGGCGGCUUGGCCAGUCGGGUGUGAAAUCCCGGGGCUCAACCCCGGAACUGCAUUCGAAACUGCCUGGCUGGAGUCCCGGAGAGGGUGGUGGAAUUCCCAGUGUAGAGGUGAAAUUCGUAGAUAUUGGGAGGAACACCAGUGGCGAAGGCGGCCACCUGGACGGUGAAUGAUGAUGAGACGCGAAAGCGUGGGGAGCAAACAGG
rnacentral:rRNA from 1 species